AGGGAUAUAGCUCAGUGGUAGAGCAUUUGCCUAGCAUGCAGGAGACCCUGGGUUCAAUCCCCAGAACUACUA
rnacentral:tRNA from 1 species